UACGUAGGGUGCGAGCGUUAAUCGGAAUUACUGGGCGUAAAGCGUGCGCAGGCGGUUCGUUGUGUCGGCGGUGAAAGCCCCGGGCUUAACCUGGGAAUGGCCGUUGAAACUGGCGAACUGGAGUGUGGCAGAGGGGGGUGGAAUUCCGGGUGUAGCGGUGGAAUGCGUAGAGAUCCGGAAGAACACCGGUGGCGAAGGCGGCCCGCUGGGCAACUGCUGACACUGAUGCGCGACAGCGUGGGGAGCAAACAGG
rnacentral:rRNA from 1 species